rnacentral:rRNA from 1 species
AGUGAACGCUGGCGGUAGGCCUAACACAUGCAAGUCGAACGGCAGCACAGUAAGAGCUUGCUCUUACGGGUGGCGAGUGGCGGACGGGUGAGGAAUACAUCGGAAUCUACUUUUUCGUGGGGGAUAACGUAGGGAAACUUACGCCAAUACCGCAUACGACCUACGGGUGAAAGCAGGGGAUCUUCUGACCUUGCGCGAUUGAAUGAGCCGAUGUCGGAUUAGCUAGUUGGCGGGGUAAAGGCCCACCAAGGCGACGAUCCGUAGCUGGUCUGAGAGGAUGAUCAGCGACACUGGAACUGAGACACGGUCCAGACGCCUACGGGAGGCAGCAGUGGGGAAUAUUGGGCAAUGGGCGCAAGCCUGAUCCAGCCAUACCGCGUGGGUGAAGAAGGCCUUCGGGUUGUAAAGCCCUUUUGUUGGGAAAGAAAAGCAGCAGGUUAAUACCCCGCUGUUCUGACGGUACCCAAAGAAUAAGCACCGGCUAACUUCGUG